UUUUUUUUUUUUUUUUGGGUGAGAUUACCCUCAAGAACAAGAGAGCCCAUUUAAUUCCUGGUGUAAUGACUCUCCAGCAUCCCCAGUUCUCCCAUUUCUGAGCACAUUUGAUCUCCAGAUUGCUGGCAAGACUCGUCAGGUACCAGGCUGGAUGUCAGGCAUAAAAGCUUAAUAAGUGACAUACUUUACAUUUUUUUGGUGCAAUUGAAUCUAAAAGCUUCCACUCCGUUCAAAUUACCAGAGGUAAUUUCAACACAGCUGUCAGGGCUUGCUUUUUUUUUUUUUUUUAAUAUAUUUUUUUUUUCUCCCAGAAAUGGGAGUUUUUCCUAAUGUGCUUUUUCAAUUUUUUUUUUUUUGUAAUGUAAUUUUUUUAUGUGCAGGUAUUGCUGGUUAGAGGUGAAGCAUCACUUUGUGAUGGGAGGGUGGGUUUUUUUGGUGGUUUUUUGGUGGUUUUUUGGUGGUUUUUUGGUUUUUUUUUUGGUGGUUUUUGGUCCUUCUGUCGCAUCCCUGCUGCUGGAAAUGAUGCCCUAAAUUCAGAUUGGGGUGGAAGGAAGGAAGGAAAAUGGAAAUUCCGUUUGUUGGAAGGAUGGAAAUGGGAAUUUUGGUUGUUGAAAGGAAAGAAAAUGGCAAUUCUGGUUGUUGGAAGGAAUGAAAAUGGGAAUUCUGGUUGUGGGAAAGAAGGAAAAUGGAAAUUCUGGAUGUUGGGAGGAUGAAAAUGGGAAUUCUGGUUGUUGGGAGGAGGGAAAAUGGGAAUUCUGGUUGUUGGAAGGGUGAAAAUGGGAAUUCUGGUCAUGGAAAAGAAGGAAAAUGGGAAUUCUGGUUGUUGGAACCAGGGAAAUGGGGAUUUUAGUCGUUGGAAGGAAAGAAAAUGGGAAUUCUGGUUGCUGGGAGCAGGGAAAUGGGAAUUCUGUUUGUUGGAAGGAUGAAAAUGGGAAUUCUGUUUGUUGGAAGGCCCCCCCCCCCCCCCCCCCCCCCCGGGAAUGCUGGUUGUUGGGAGGGUGAAAAUGGGAAUUCUGGCUGUUGGAAGGAUGAAAAUGGGAAUUCUGGCUGUUGGGAGGGUGAAAAUGGGAAUUCUGGCUGUUGGAAGGGUGAAAAUGGAAAUUCUGGUUUUUGGAAGGGUGAAAAUGGGAAUUCUGUUUGUUGGAAGGAUGAAAAUGGGAAUUCUGUUUGUUGGAAGGGUGAAAAUGGGAAUUCUGGCUGAUUUUCCUGAUUUUUUUCCCCAUCACCAGAGCUCAGCAGCGCUGUCCCGUGCACACACCUCCCUCAGUGAUGACAAACUGCUUAUUAAGAUUAUUUCUGGUUCUAAAAAUAGAACCCCAGGCAUCCAUCCUGUCAGGUGGAUAAUUCCUGGGAUUUGC
rnacentral:lncRNA from 12 species